rnacentral:misc_RNA from 1 species
UACGGAGGGUGCAAGCGUUGUUCGGAAUUACUGGGCGUAAAGAGCGUGUAGGCGGCUUCGUAAGUCGGAUGUGAAAGCCCUCGGCUCAACCGAGGAAGUGCAUCCGAUACUGCGGAGCUAGAGGGUCGGAGGGGGUGGCGGAAUUCCCGGUGGAGAGGUGAAAUUCGUAGAUAUCAGGAGGAACACCUGUGGCGAAGGCGGCCACCUGGACGAUAACUGACGCUGAGACGCGAAAGCGUGGGUAGCAAACAGG